rnacentral:rRNA from 1 species
AUGAGAAGAGCUUGCUCUUCGAUUCAGCGGCGGACGGGUGAGUAAUGCCUAGGAAUCUGCCUGGUAGUGGGGGACAACGUUUCGAAAGGAACGCUAAUACCGCAUACGUCCUACGGGAGAAAGCAGGGGACCUUCGGGCCUUGCGCUAUCAGAUGAGCCUAGGUCGGAUUAGCUAGUUGGUGAGGUAAUGGCUCACCAAGGCGACGAUCCGUAACUGGUCUGAGAGGAUGAUCAGUCACACUGGAACUGAGACACGGUCCAGACUCCUACGGGAGGCAGCAGUGGGGAAUAUUGGACAAUGGGCGAAAGCCUGAUCCAGCCAUGCCGCGUGUGUGAAGAAGGUCUUCGGAUUGUAAAGCACUUUAAGUUGGGAGGAAGGGCAUUAACCUAAUACGUUAGUGUUUUGACGUUACCGACAGAAUAAGCACCGGCUAACUCUGUGCCAGCA